rnacentral:rRNA from 1 species
UACGUAGGUGGCAAGCGUUGUCUGGAUUUAUUGGGUUUAAAGGGUCCGUAGGCGGUUUUGUAAGUCAGUGGUGAAAGCCCAUCGCUCAACGGUGGAACGGCCAUUGAUACUGCAAGACUUGAAUUAUUGGGAAGCAACUAGAAUAUGUAGUGUAGCGGUGAAAUGCUUAGAGAUUACAUGGAAUACCAAUUGCGAAGGCAGGUUGCUACCAAUACAUUGACGCUGAUGGACGAAAGCGUGGGGAGCGAACAGG